UACGUAGGUGGCAAGCGUUGUCCUGAUUUCCUGGGCGUAAAGCGUCUGCAGGCGGAUGAGUAAGUAGGAAGUGAAAGGUUGGAGCUCAACUCUAACACGGCUCCCUAUACUGCUUGUCUUGAGUGCCGGAGAGGACAAGGGAACUUCACGUGUAGCGGUGAAAUGCGUUGAGAUGUGAAGGAACACCAAUGGCGAAAGCACUUGUCUGGACGGAAACUGACGCUGAGAUACGAAAGCCAAGGGAGCGAACAGG
rnacentral:rRNA from 1 species